rnacentral:rRNA from 1 species
UACAGAGGUCUCAAGCGUUGUUCGGAUUCAUUGGGCGUAAAGGGUGUGUAGGUGGCGCGCUAAGUCGGGUGUGAAAUUUCGGAGCUUAACUCCGAAACUGCAUUCGAUACUGGCGUGCUUGAGGACUGGAGAGGAGACUGGAAUUUACGGUGUAGCAGUGAAAUGCGUAGAUAUCGUAAGGAAGACCAGUGGCGAAGGCGGGUCUCUGGGCCGAUAUUGACGCUGAGGAGCGAAAGCGUGGGGAGCAAACAGG